GGUCCUCUAAAGCCUAAAUAUAAGAUUACAUGGUACAUCUCUGGAUCAUACUCUUAAUCAAGGAAUAUGCAUUAUGGAGUAUCUUAACUGGCGAUGGAAGCUUGCCCAACUCAGGUAACCAUUGCAGAAAGCUCAGCUUAUGUAACUGUGAUAAAUAUUUGUUCUUCAUGACUUUAACGUAGCAUUGUGAACAUUGCCCCACUAAAAGGAAUGAGAUUCCAGGUCCAAUGGAACUGAGUAUUCUCAGUUAACCACAACCUAAGAUUGCCCUUAGUCUCUACGCUCUAGAAACUCCUCCAGUCAACUAUGAGUCCAUUGGAAGGGUGCUCUAGGACCUUCUACCGAGACUGAGAAGUCGAUUCAUAGUGUAACAUCUGCAGUUCAAGUAUUGACCAAGGCAAAAAACGCAUCCUAGAGGUGGUGACACGGAGUCUCAACUAAGUGGAAACCACUCAGAGGCGAUUGUUACUCGUAGACAUAGUCAUAGAGUCGCACUUAUAUCUCUGCUCUAUAAAAAAUAGAAAUUAUAAGUAUAAUAGCGUGGUUUUUGAAAUCUUUUAGGUUGUGCUUGACUGGAUUGAGUCAUGGGAAGCUCACAUUCUUCGAAGUGUCAAAUGACCUAGACACAGAAUCUUUAUGUGAUGCAAAUCUAGUAUGGAGUGAAUAUACUCUAAGCAUAAAACUGGGCCACCAAAGAAUUCAUUUGAGUUACUCUCAGAGCUGCACUCUCUGAGAGAGUUUUCUACAGACUAUAGAUCCCUAGACUGAUUUACCUUUUGGUUGAACUUGAUAGACCGUUAAUUGAAAAUCACACGGAAGGUUGAAAUAAUUGAGAAUACGAUGAGAACACUCGAUUUCUGCAUUUAUGCCCAAAAUUUAAAUUUUAAAUAAUUUAAACUUGUCCUAACUCACUAAUAAACACACAAAUUGAUCGAAAGACUAAUCUUUUUUAAGAUUGAUCGAAAGAUUAAUCUUUGUUGAUCAGAUCCAAGAUUACUAAAAAAAUGAGUCAAUCCUCACGUUUCCAACUUAAACGCCCAAACCUAUGUUUAUCUUAGGUUUGAAAUAC
rnacentral:lncRNA from 1 species